UCUGUUUCAUUUCAGCAUCAGG
rnacentral:siRNA from 1 species